UCAAUUAAAGAUGAUGAUCUGGUUCUUUAUAUUCUUGGUGGUCUUGGUUCUGAGUAUGAAGCUGUCAUUGUUAAUC